rfam:Microgenomates (Daviesbacteria) bacterium GW2011_GWA2_42_7 TV41_C0055, whole genome shotgun sequence.
GCGCCUGUAGCUCAGCGGAUAGAGCGUAUGCGUUCUAAGCAUGUGGUCGGGGGUUCGAAUCCCUCCAGGCGUA